GGCGGGAACACGCUCUGGUACACAUCAAUCCUGAGCAUCCCAAACAUGCUCAAUGGGUGACAUGUCUGGUGAGUAUGCAGGCCAUGGAGGAACUGUGUCAUUUUCAGCUUCCAGGAAUUGUGUACAGAUCCUUGCAACAUGGGGCUGUGCAUUAUCAUGCUGAAACAUGAGGCGAUGGCGGCAGAUGAAUGGCAUGGCAAUGGUCCUCAGGAUCUCGUCACGGUAUCUCUGUGCAUUCAAAUUGGCAUCGAUAAAAUGCAAUGGUAAACAUUGUCUGUAGCUUAUGCCUGCCCAUACCAUAACCCCACCACCACCAUGGGGCACUCCAUUCACAAUGUUGACGUAAACAAACAGCUCACCCACACAACACCAUACUGCCAUCUGCCCGGUACAGUUGAAACGGGAUUCAUCCAUGAAGAGCACACUUCUCCAGCGUGCCAGUCACUAUUGAAAGUGAGCAUUUGCCAACUGAAGUCGGCUACGUCCGGGUUUGCGUCGUCCGGGUUUGGGAGGGUUUGGCCGGUAGGGAUAUCCUUGUCUCAUUGCGCACCAGUGGUGGGCCGGGCGCAGUGCACGCUAACCAAGGUUUCCUCCGACACAUUGGUGCGGUUGGAUGCGCGCUGGGUUAUGAAGCAGUGCGGCUUGGUUGGGUUGUGUAUCGGAGGACGCAUAACUUUCAACCUUCGUCUCUCCCAAGCCUGUACGGGAGUUGUAGCAAUGAGACAAGAUAGUAGCUACUAACUAUUGGAUACCAUGAAAUUGGGGAUAAAAAAAAAAAAAAAAAAAAAAAAAAAUAUAUAUAUAUAUAUAUAUAUAUAUAUAUAUAAAAAAAUAAAACUGAAAUAUGACAUUUACAUAAGAAUUCAGACCCGUUACUCAGUACAUUGUUGAAGCACCUUUGGCAAUGAUAUCAGGGUCAAGUCUUCUUGGGUAUGACUGACAUUCUUUUUUUCCAGAUCCUAUCAAGCUCUGUCAGGUUGGAUGCGGAGCGUUGCUGCACAACUAUUUUCAGGUCUCUCCAGAGACGUCCGACUGGGUGUAACCUCGAUAAUCAAUACACGGACGCAAACCACCAUCCUUUUUCUUCACAAAAAAGAAACUCGAGGAGACGGGUGACAUGGAUGGCCGAAUGUACCCCUGUCCCAGAGCUUCCGUGACAUAUGUCUCCAUAGCCAACAUCUC
ensembl:lncRNA